CAAGGGAACGGGCUUGGAAAAAUCAGCGGGGAAAGAAACCCUGUUGAGCUUGACUCUAGUCUGACUCUGUGAAGAGACAUGAGAGGUGUAGCAUAAGUGGGAGGUGCUCUGCGGCCGCCGUUGAAAUACCACUACUUUCAUCGUUUCUUUACUGACUCGGUGAAGCGGAGAGCGGACCGCAGGGUCCACGUUUCUAGUCCUAAGUGCCGGGCCGUCGCGUCUGGCGCGAUCUGCUCCGAGGACAGUGUCAGGCGGGGAGUUUGACUGGGGCGGUACAUCUGUCAAAAGGUAACGCAGGUGUCCUAAGGCGAGCUCAGCGAGGACAGAAACCUCGCGUAGAGCAAAAGGGCAAAAGCUUGCUUGAUCUUGAUUUUCAGUACGAAUACGGACCGCGAAAGCGGGGCCUAUCGAUCCUUUUGACUUUAGGAGUUUUAAGCAAGAGUGUCAGAAAAGGACCACAGGGAUAAC
rnacentral:rRNA from 1 species